AGUUAUCGAUCCAGUUUGAAACACAUACUGUCCAGAAAGCACGACUGAGAAGCAAGGAAUGAUUGCCUCCACCUGGCCACCGAUCCUUAACUUCUCCGGCCAGGUAAGGUAACUCAACUCAGCGCCCGCCUGCUCCUACCGUCGUCAUGCCGCUGGACGAUCGCCCAAACAGUGGACGCUGACAGAAACGAGGUCGGGGCUGUAGGAUGAUGUCAGGAGCAGGAUUAUCAUGAAGAAGGGACGACGAGGAGCGGAUAUGAGAUGAAGCGAUAGGUCGGGCUAGAGCGAUCCACACAGCUCCUACCACCGCAAGGGAUGUUGCUGAUGCCUAGCACUGGACGACGAGCUGUAUCACUGAAGGGAACGACGUCCGUGUGCAAAUUGCAACGAUGGGACCGAAGGUGGGGGCCGUGCAAAACCCGGAACAACGUCGCCCUACAGAACAAGGCCAUGAGAAGGAAGUGCCAGACCGGAGCAGAGCCGCGUACAGCCAAGCGAUUGCACUGCUACAACUAUCGAAAAAAUGACACCAGUUAGAGAAUUCAUGGACUGACGUUCACGUGUUGUCUGCGUUAUUUGACUUAUACGAAUAUGUAUUGUCUAUUCUAUCAUGUGUAUCAAAGAAUAUACAUUCAAGUAGUGUAAUUGACUCAGACGAAGACGGGCAAAAUCAAACUAAGGGUGGAUUUUCGAAUGAAAACGAUACAAACGUACGUAAGGUCUCAUUGAUGAGUUUUUAACUGCAUUGGAAAUAAUGCAGAGAUACGUGUUUUACAUGGUGGCGUACAUAAUGCACAUACUUGAAAUAUAUUUAUACCAUUCUUUCUUUGUUGCACUUAUUUACCAUUUAUCAUGUAAACAAAUUCACGACAAUUGCAAUAGCUAAUCAUUCAGUCUUUUUUAUGACCGAAUAUGCAGUUAGCACGCACCGGAGCGGGCACUUUUUAGCUACGACCGUACAACUCAGAAGACAGAACCCAGAACUGUGUGCCUCCGACCCAGACAGCCAUCGAACAUUGCCUGUUAACUUCUUUAGGUAGAAAGAAACUUUCACCAAUAUCACUGCUAAAAAUACACCUCAGUGCAGCCGUUUACGUUUUUGGGCCGGAAUUCGGAAUAAUACAUCAACGGAACCUUAGAGUUAUUGUGUAUGCAAUCUGAAUUGAAAAAAAGCUUUUCAGUCCGUCACUUGCAACAAGAUACAGCGCAACGGUUGCCGUAUGUACUAGUU